CAGGGCUUCUCAGAAUGCUACAAAAAAGCAAGCAUUUUUUUGAGUCAUUCAACAUUUAUUGGGAGUGGGAAGUACCCUGGCCAUUGGCUGGGUGAUGACUUCUCAUGUUGGAGAGACAUGCAUUUGUCAAUCAUUGGAAUGCUAGAAUGUAAUCUCUUUGGAAUUCCAUAUGUAGGAGCUGAUAUAUGUGGGUUUAAUGAAGAGACAACUUAUGAACUUUGCCUGCAUUGGAUGCAAUUUGGGGCCUUCUAUCCCUUUUCCAGAAACAAUAAGGCCAUUGGAAAUAAGGCAAGUGACAGUCAAUU
rnacentral:lncRNA from 1 species